GCCUCCACAAUUUCCAUAUUCUAUGCCUUGCCCUCCUGAGGCUUCCUUCAUUAUACAUUACAGAAAGGGGGAAUGAUUAAAAUGAGGGAGAAAAGCUCCCGUAAAUAUUAAUGCCAUAUGUAAAUUGGUAAUGAUCAGCAGUCAGCUGUAGAACUUGACAGAAACUUAGCUCUUCCUUGUGAUUAUCAAUAACCAAUUUUCCUCCAUAGCAUUUCUUUUCCCCACGAUCCUCCCAUAGAAUUCACCUAUAGAUUGCAAAUCUCUCUCGCCAUGCUAAGAUUAUCUUUCUUACUACCAAUUCUUUCUAGGCUCCAUCAUUUCUUUCCUAUCGUCUUCUGAUUCGACUUUGAGACAACCCAGCACUCUGGAAUCUUUGCUGCAUCUUCUCCAAUGAACAGAUGUUCCUUUCCAUCCUCUUAACAAGCCAUCGAGGUCAGCAUACACUUUGUGCCCUUGACUACAGAAAGGCGAGCCAGUCACUCUACCCACACCUGAAUCUAUGUCUGCAGUGCACCUAGCAUCAGGGAUGGUGAGUUAUAUUUUUUCCUUGGUGAUUGUUUUUAUACUGC
rnacentral:lncRNA from 1 species